UACGUAGGGUGCAAGCGUUGUUCGGAAUUAUUGGGCGUAAAGAGCUCGUAGGCGGUUUGUCGCGUCUGCUGUGAAAACUCGGGGCUUAACCCCGGGCCUGCAGUGGGUACGGGCAGACUAGAGUGCGGUAGGGGAGACUGGAAUUCCUGGUGUAGCGGUGAAAUGCGCAGAUAUCAGGAGGAACACCGGUGGCGAAGGCGGGUCUCUGGGCCGUAACUGACGCUGAGACGCGAAAGCGUGGGGAGCAAACAGG
rnacentral:rRNA from 1 species